rnacentral:rRNA from 1 species
CCUACGGGGGGCAGCAGUCGAGAAUCAUUCACAAUGGGGGAAACCCUGAUGGUGCGACGCCGCGUGGGGGAAUGAAGGUCUUCGGAUUGUAAACCCCUGUCAUGUGGGAGCAAAUUAAAAAGAUAGUACCACAAGAGGAAGAGACGGCUAACUCUGUGCCAGCAGCCGCGGUAAUACAGCGGUCUCAAGCGUUGUUCGGAAUCACUGGGCGUAAAGCGUGCGUAGGCUGUUUCGUAAGUCGUGUGUGAAAGGCGCGGGCUCAACCCGCGGACGGCACAUGAUACUGCGAGACUAGAGUAAGGGAGGGGGAACCGGAAUUCUCGGUGUAGCAGUGAAAUGCGUAGAUAUCGAGAGGAACACUCGUGGCGAAGGCGGGUUCCUGGACAUUAACUGACGCUGAGGCACGAAGGCCAGGGGAGCGAAAGGGAUUAGAUACCCGAGUAGUC